rnacentral:rRNA from 1 species
AUGCAAGGAGAAGCUGCUGCGGUUUCAAGGGGCCGUGAGGAUGCCCACCAUGAAGGCGUGUCUGGGAUGAUGGAGCUACAAAAUUGCAAUCUCUUGAAAAUGUUCUUGAAUACAGUAAUUUUUUUGUCACAUAACCCAUAUGCUGAUGAUAAAGUUUGUUGUAUGAGCUUGUGGCAUACUGAUCUGACAGGUGGCAGAAAACCACUAGGAUUACAAGGUAAUCUUUCACACGUUGUCUACAAUUUGUAG